rnacentral:rRNA from 1 species
GACGAACGCUGGCGGCGUGCCUAAUACAUGCAAGUCGAACGCAGUGGCGGACGGGUGAGUAACACGUGGGUAACUACCCAUCAGAGGGGGAUAACUAUUGGAAACGAUAGCUAAUACCGCAUACUAGUAGAUGGACCUGCGUUGUAUUAGCUAGUAGGUAGGGUAAUGGCAUACCUAGGAAACGAUACAUAGCCGACCUGAGAGGGUGAUAGGCCACACUGGGACUGCGAAACGGCCCAGACUCUUACGGGAGGCAGCAGUAGGGAAGCUUCGGCAAUGGGGGGAACCCUGACCGAGCAACGCCGCGUGAGUGAAGAAGGUUUUCGGAUCGUAAAGCUCUGUUGUUAAGGAAGCGGUACUUAACCAGAAAGGGACGGCUAACUACGUGCCAGCAGCCGCGGUAAUUC